ACGAGGCAGCAUCCCCCCCAGGAGCAGUGAAACUCUUCAGAACAAGGUCUUUCUUUGACGAUAUCUUCACCACCACGGCUCGUCUGACCUUACGACUGCUGUGUGCACACGUUGGAGGUUUUCUGCAGGUUUAUAAUAAUAAAAAACACCAUGAUGACCAUCA